AUUGAACGCUGGCGGCAGGCCUAACACAUGCAAGUCGAGCGGAGCGACGGACGGGUGAGUAAGGCCUAGGAAUCUGCCUGGUCGUGGGGGAUAACGUCCGGAAACGGGCGCUAAUACCGCAUACUAUUAGAUGAGCCUAGGCCGGAUUAGCUAGUUGGUGGGGUAAAGGCCUACCAUGGCGAAGACCCGUAACUGGUCUGAGAGGAUGAUCUGGCACACUGGAACUGAGACACGGCCCAGACUCCUACGGGAGGCAGCAGUGGGGAAUAUUGCGCAAUGGGCGCAAGCCUGAUGCAGCCAUGCCGCGUGUAUGAAGAAGGCCUUAGGGUUGUAAAGUACUUUCAGCGGGGAGGCGUUACCCGCAGAGGAAGCACCGGCUAACUCCGUGCCAGCAGCCGCGGUAAUAC
rnacentral:rRNA from 1 species